rnacentral:sRNA from 1 species
GCAUCAAGAACUUCGGCUGCCACAAUU